ensembl:snRNA U2 U2 spliceosomal RNA
AUCACUUCUUGGCCUUUUGGCUAAGAUCAAGUGUAGUACAGGCAAUCAAACUAAUCAUUUAUAAUAUUGAACUCCAUCAUCUUUU